GGAUGAAGGGAAGUUUAUUUUUCAGUCAUUUUUUUAUCAUGUUCAUUCAUUUCAGACUAAAUAAAUAGCUGGAAGCUAAUUAGCUUGCUUGCUAAAUAUCUAAGCUGGACAGUUACCUUGCCAACAAGGUGUACGACAAUUAUUGAGUCACUAAAAAACGAUGACAUCAUUCUGACAUCACAACGUUUGUGAGGUUCUGUGUCCUGCAUGGUUUGUCUCCCCAGUAACGGCCCAAAGGACUCUGGGAAGGCGUAGGAAUAUGCAGGACGCUCGCCGCGCCGGCCGACCAGCAGCCGGGGGCGGAGCUUACUGUCCGACAUUGUGGAACGGGAUUGGACGUCACGGCUCAGAGCUGCGCUCCCAUUGGCCACCAGGACAGAGCUGGAGGCCACGCCCCCAGGUGUCCAUGUCGGGAACUGGAGCUGCACCAGUUCACACUGGGAAUAUUGACGCAUAAACAGGAAAUGUGAAACGUCCAGAUCAGAGACUGGGAGCCACUGGUCCAGAGGAACCGGAGGAACAUGACAUGAAGGAUGUUGCUCAACCUUUAUGACAAUAACGGACAGCAAACGUUUUGAUAUGAAAUCAUGCUAAAUGAUAAAGACAUGAAAGCAGAAGCUCUGACCCAUGGGAGGUCAGAGGCUCCCAGAUGUCAUGGUGUCCAACCGAGUGACUCCUCAACUCUCCGGUUUGAAAAACCACAAAAAAAGUUCCAGAACCGGCGACCCGGCAGAACCGUAGACGGUAAAAAGCUCAGGCGGGAUCCAAACGGCUCUUAGAACUACAGGAGGUUCAAACUCCCUCAUUGACGUUCAGCUUACAGGAAAAACAUUAAAACAAACUGACCAAUGAGAUCCGUCACACACACACACACACACACACACUCACUUCAAUCCAAAAGCACAUAAUUCUGAACUUUAACCCUAGAAAAGAUUACAUUUCAGUUUGAUAUAUUUUAUAAUCAACUGGUUAUAGAGUAACAGAUUACUAAACAGUAUUAAUCAAUAGUUUCCAUUUUAGUUCCAA